CCGCCACGUACGCCAGCGCCGCCGCCGCCGCCGCGAUCCACCACCAGCGCAUCAUCCGCACCAACAGCGCCGCUCAAUUCUAUGUAUGUAUAUCCCCCUCCUCUCGCCUCACUCACUCACUCGUUGAGCUAUGCUGUGUCGUCCGUCCUCAGAGAAGAAGAAACAAGUAGAAGCAGAGGAGAGAGGAACAGAGGGCGCGUGAGGUGGCAGGAGCGGAGACGUGGUGUGCGUGGUGAGGUGAGAGGAGAGGAGAGAAAACGGGGGUGGAUUUAUAUAGGGGAGCUGGGCUCUGGACCAGCAUGUGUGUAGUAGUAGUAGGAUUAGUAUCAUCGCUGAAAGCGUCGGAUGGAUCCAUCGGUUUCAUUUCAUUUAAUCUAGAUAGAGGGGGGAAGGGAGGGGGGCACAACGGUAAAGGCUGCCGAGAGCGAGACAGAGAGAGCGAUGUGAUGUGGAGCGAGCAGGGCCGGCGCCGUUGGAGCCGCCGUCGCGGGGAUUAAUGGCGGGGUCAACCCAAAUUGGCAACUUUGUUCUCUUUCGUUUUGGCCUUCUCACCUCUAUCUCUCUCUCUCGACCUUUCUCUCUCCGGUCUCUCUCCCUCGAGCCUCAACCUCUCUCUCCUGGCGUCCUGUGAUAGCACUGUUCCAUUUUCACCGCUUCGCUGCAAAACUUUGCCAGUGUUGUGUGCGCAGCACCAGCCGCAGCGUGCUACAGAGAGGAUUCUGCUCUGUUCUCAGCACCCUCACCUCCCCUCUGAUGGACAUGCCGCCGUGCCGUCCGUCCUUACACGUACUGACAUCUAAUGUAGUAGUAGGAGUAGUAUGAGUAGCGCUCACUCAUUCAUGUUGGUAGUAUCUGUUUGUGUAAUUAUCCUUGUGCUCUGCUCCGCACUGUGCUGUGUUGUGUGGCAUGUCAGUCAGGUUGUUAUGUUCGCGAUGCGGAGCGCUUUUUCUCUCCUUUUACAGCAGCAAUGGCUCCUGUGUGUAGCUUUUGAGGGGCUGCCUGAGUGGGGUUUCAUCUCAUCUCAUCAGUCAUCACCUUGAUGAGAUUGAUGAGAUCUCUUGAGGGUUAUGCGCGGCUGCAUUUUGCUGUAUCGCCCACGGUUCUACCUUUUGGGGGAUGGAUCACGGACGCAAGGGGGCAAAAGAAAGAAAUACAAGCGCUUUGUGGCCUGUGGGCUCCUCCUCCUAAGCCUAACCUCAGAAGAGACAAGGGCGAUUGGAAAUGCAUCAGGUCUAGUGUUUUUUUAAUUAUUUAUUUUUUAUAUGUGUAGUAGAGAAAAAGGGUGAUAGAGUGCUGAAAAAGUGCUGGCUAUGUAUAAUCAAUCAAUCAUACACCGUUAGGGCUGAUAGGUUCUGUUCCUAUAGUCGAAUUAUUAGCGCCUGUCUAGUUUACAUGUACUAGCCUUUGCUCUGUUUUUUGUGUGUGGCUGAGCUGAACUAAAUCACAUCACUGGCUAUUAUUAGGAGUAACCUGAGGUUAGAUUGACAGGCUCUGCAGUGUAGGGGAAUCUUUGAUCUGCAGUAUAUACUUCAGAAGUUUAUCUCCACUAUUUUAUUUAUCUUAACACACGGUAUAUUCAUCUUAUGACAUAUGUCCCACAAUAUCACUUUCCAUUUAAAUACACAUGCAAGUAAUCCGCAUCACCAAAUGCAUGCAAUCAAUCAACUUUUCAGUUUUCCCUAAAAAAAAUCACCUUUACAUUUUCCACCACAUGCACGUGAUUCAUAUCAUCAAGCCCUAAUGCAACCAUUCAACUUUCCACUUUCACCACAUUCAAGCCUAUCAUCAUAUAUUAUAAUUUUAUUUUUGGUAAGUUCGUUGGUAAAAAAUUCCGCAACAAGGUAUGUGGCAUUAUCUAGUUGCAGCAGUAUUUUGUAUACAACAAACCAUUCAAGAAAAAAGGGAAGUAUUGUACAACAAACAAACUCCAUUUCUUCAGAUCCCUUCGUAUUCAUUCCUCCUUCCCAGUGGAUUGUUGCAUACCUUUCUGGCCGGUUUUGUUUGUUUCACAUCAAGCUCCCGGAUUUGCAGGGGAGCCUUAUCUGCUAGUGCCUUUUCUUUUAAAGAACACUCACUCGUAUUAAUUGCACCUUGUUCUAUUCUAGCGUACUACACACCAACAACAACAGCUAUCUAUAUGGUUCCUAAGUCCUUCCUCCAAAAAUAUUUUAUCAAGCUCGAUCAAAUGCAACAGGCGCCUCUUGGUUUGGAAAUUGGAACUACACUACUUAACCCCAUCGUGCAUGCUUGCAUGGAUCAAUGCAAGGCAAGGCAGCAAAUAAUGAAGCCGCGAACUGUUACUUGUACUUGCUAAUUAUGUAAACCCAUGCCAAAGUUGACUUAAUGGAAUCUAACCCUGCAGGCUGGCAUGCAUCAACCAGUAACACCAUUAUGUUUGGAGCUGCUAGAGAGAUCACAUCAGAUGUGUUGGUUUGCAACAUUUGGUGCGUGCGUCCGUCCGCAUUGAAGGCACGUACAAGUAUGAAUGUGAAUGGAAUGCAUUCAUGAUUUGUUUCCUUUCUUUCUCCAUUGAUUACUUAGCAUGAUUGAAGGGGAAAGGGGAUGUGUAGUGUGGCAGUGUCAUAUACCAUGUACAUGUUGCCUAAAUAAAAGGCUAAAACUUGUAAGAGUCCCCAGUACCAGUGACAUGACUUUCCACAAUAAUGCACAAGUGGCAUGGUUGGUUGUACACCACCACCAGAGCUAGCUUGUAUUAGCCUCGAU
rnacentral:lncRNA from 1 species